rnacentral:rRNA from 1 species
GAUGAACGCUGGCGGCAUGCCUAAUACAUGCAAGUCGAACGGAAUCUUAUAUGUUCCUCGUUUUUGGAUUUAGUUCCAAGUUGAGGAACAAUAAGAUUUAGUGGCGGACGGGUGAGUAACACGUUGGUACCUACCCUCUAGUGGGGAAUAACUUCGAGAAAUCGAGGCUAAUACCGCAUAAUAUCUACGGAUUAAAGCAUUUAUGCGCUAGAGGAGGGGCCUGCGUCUGAUUAGCUUGUUGGUGAGGUAAAAGCUCACCAAGGCGACGAUCAGUAGCUGGAUCGAGAGGUUGACCAGCCACACUGGGACUGAGAUACGGCCCAGACUCCUACGGGAGGCAGCAGUGGGGAAUAUUGCACAAUGGGCGCAAGCCUGAUGCAGCAACG